UACGAAGGGGGCUAGCGUUAAUCGGAAUUACUGGGCGUAAAGCGUGCGCAGGCGGUUAUGUAAGACAGUUGUGAAAUCCCCGGGCUCAACCUGGGAACUGCAUCUGUGACUGCAUAGCUAGAGUACGGUAGAGGGGGAUGGAAUUCCGCGUGUAGCAGUGAAAUGCGUAGAUAUGCGGAGGAACACCGAUGGCGAAGGCAAUCCCCUGGACCUGUACUGACGCUCAUGCACGAAAGCGUGGGGAGCAAACAGG
rnacentral:rRNA from 1 species